UAUCGCUCAGAUUUGAAAUCUGGCGCCUUCGGUGUCCGAGUUGUAAUUUGAAGAAGGUAUCUUUGGUUUUGGCUCUUGUCUAUGUUCCUUGGAACAGGACGUCACAGAGGGUGAGAAUCCCGUGCGAUGAGAUGCCCAAUUCCAUGUAAAGUUCCUUCGACGAGUCGAGUUGUUUGGGAAUGCAGCUCUAAGUGGGUGGUAAAUUCCAUCUAAAGCUAAAUAUUGGCGAGAGACCGAUAGCGAACAAGUACUGUGAAGGAAAGAUGAAAAGAACUUUGAAAAGAGAGUGAAAAAGUACGUGAAAUUGUUGAAAGGGAAGGGCUUGAGGUCAGACUUGGUUUUACCAGGCCAGCAUCAGUUUGGAUGGCAGGAUAAUAGCUUAGGAAUGUGGCACUGCUUCGGUAGUGUGUUAUAGCCUGGGUUGAUACUGCCUGUCUAGACUGAGGACUGCGUCUUUGACUAGGAUGCUGGCAUAAUGACCUUAAGCC
rnacentral:rRNA from 1 species